rnacentral:rRNA from 1 species
GUGAGGUGGAGCAAAACUCAAAACUUGUCUCAGUUCGGAUUGUAGGCUGAAACUCGCCUACAUGAAGCUGGAGUUGCUAGUAAUCGCGAAUCAGCAUGUCGCGGUGAAUACGUUCCCGGGCCUUGUACACACCGCCCGUCACACCAUGAGAGUUGGCAAUACCCAACGUACGUGAUCUAACCCGCAAGGGAGGAAGCGUCCUAAGGUAGGGUCAGCGAUUGGGGUGAAGUCGUAACAAGGUAAC